CUACCAUGCAGUCGAGGGGUAUAGAGAGCUUGCUUUCUAGAGACCGGCGCACGGGUGCGUAACGCGUAUGCAAUCUACCUUUCACAGAGGGAUAGCCCAGAGAAAUUUGGAUUAAUACCUCAUAGUAUAACAUGGCCGCAUGGUCGAGUUAUUAAAGUCACAACGGUGAAAGAUGAGCAUGCGUCCCAUUAGUUAGUUGGUAAGGUAACGGCUUACCAAGACUACGAUGGGUAGGGGUCCUGAGAGGGAGAUCCCCCACACUGGUACUGAGACACGGACCAGACUCCUACGGGAGGCAGCAGUGAGGAAUAUUGGACAAUGGAGGCAACUCUGAUCCAGCCAUGCCGCGUGCAGGAUGACGGUCCUAUGGAUUGUAAACUGCUUUUAUACGAGAAGAAACACUCCUUCGUGAAGGAGCUUGACGGUAUCGUAAGAAUAAGGAUCGGCUAACUCCGUGCCAGCAGCCGCGGUAAUACGGAGGAUCCAAGCGUUAUCCGGAAUCAUUGGGUUUAAAGGGUCCGUAGGCGGUUUAGUAAGUCAGUGGUGAAAGCCCAUCGCUCAACGGUGGAACGGCCAUUGAUACUGCUAGACUUGAAUUAUUAGGAAGUAACUAGAAUAUGUAGUGUAGCGGUGAAAUGCUUAGAGAUUACAUGGAAUACCAAUUGCGAAGGCAGGUUACUACUAAUAUAUUGACGCUGAUGGACGAAAGCGUGGGUAGCGAACAGGAUUAGAUACCCUGGUAGUCCACGCCGUAAACGAUGGAUACUAGCUGUUGGGAGCAAUCUCAGUGGCUAAGCGAAAGUGAUAAGUAUCCCACCUGGGGAGUACUUCG
rnacentral:rRNA from 1 species